rnacentral:rRNA from 1 species
UCGCUUGUCUCAAAGAUUAAGCCAUGCAUGUCGUAGUACUUGCUUUUCCUUACGAAUGAGCGAAACCGCGGACGGCUCAUUAAAUCGGUUACGGUUCACUCGCCCGUCCGCGUCCUGCUUUGUCAGGGCGUAGUCGGAUAACUGUGGUAAUUCUAGAGCUAAUACGUGCAACUUACGGCUUCCGAGAAAAUCGGGGGCUGGCAUUUAUUAGUCUGGCGUGCGCGGCCUUUAAGGUUUCGCGCGCCUGACGGCUCUGAAUAACGGUGGCGGAUCGUCCUCUUCUGAGGACGACCGGGCUUUUGAGUGUCCGCCUUAUCAACUUUCGACGGUAGGUUCAGCGCCUACCGUGGUGGUUACGGGUGACGGGGAAUCAGGGUUCGAUUCCGGAGAGGGASCCUGAAAGACGGCUACCACAUCCAAGGAAGGCAGCAGGCACGCAAAUUACCCACUCUCCGAAAGAGAGGAGGUAGUGACGAAAAAUAACGAUACGGGACUCUUAACGAGGCCUCGUAAUCGGAAUGAGACCGCUUCAAAUCCUCGAGACGAGGAUCUAUCGGAGGGCAAGUCUGGUGCCAGCAGCCGCGGUAAUUCCAGCUCCGAUAGCGUAUAUUAAAGUCGCUGCGGUUAAAAAGCUCGUAGUUGGAUUUGGGUCGACCGGGCCGUCGGGCCGCCGCCUCCGUGCGGCGAGUUCCCGUGCGUCCCCGGGACCGCACGUUCACCCCCGCGGUGCUCUUGACUGAGUGUCCGCGGUAGCGGGUGACCGAACGUUUACCUUGACAAAACCGGAGUGCUCGAGGCGUGGGCGUUCGCCGCCCGUACGUCCUCGCUGGGAAUAAUGGAAGAGGACCGUUGGUCAAAAAAGGUUUUUCGUCAGAGAGGUUGGAGAGCAAAAAGGAGGUUGUGCUGGCGGGGGGUUUACAAAGGGGGGUAACUCCCUUUCCCCCUCUGGUCUUCCUCCUUCUCCUCCUCGAAACCUUCCUCCCCGCGUACCGCACUGGGGAUCGGUUUGCGCUUUUCGGCGGAAAGGGCGGUUUGAGACAGAAGGGUGAAAGCAGGUGGCCGUUUGCCGGAUGGCGAAAGCUGGACGGCCGGUCGUUUGUGGAAGCCUGGAAUCUUAUUCCCCCUCACUGUCGUGGUGCUUCCGUACCCUUGGUGUCAGCGGGAGGAGGUCGAAAAUCAAAAUAAAUAUGACGUGUCAUGAUUAAGAGGGACGGCCGGGGGCAUUCGUACCGCGGCGCGAGAGGUGAAAUUCUAGGACCGUCGCGAGACGAACGAUAGCGAAAGCAUUUGCCAAGAAUGUUNNNNNNNNNNNNNNNNNNNNNNNNNNNNNNNNAAGGCGAUCAGAUACCGCCCUAGUUCCGACCUUAAACCAUGCCGUCCGACCGCCCGCCAGGGUUACUACCGCGACUCGGCGGGCGGUGACUUUCCACCGGGAAACCCUUAAGCUUUCGGGUUCCGGGGGAAGUACGGUCGCAAAGCUGAAACUUAAAGGAAUUGACGGAAGGGCACCACCAGGAGUGGAGCCUGCGGCUUAAUUUGACUCAACACGGGGAACCUCACCCGGCCCGGACACCGCGAGGAUUGACAGAUCGAUAGCUCUUUCUCGAUCCGGUGGGUGGUGGUGCAUGGCCGUUCUUAGUUGGUGGAGCGAUCUGUCUGGUUAAUUCCGAUAACGAACGAGACUCUAGCCGGUUAAGUAGCCCGAGUGGCGUGUUGUUGAUUUAAAAACCGCCCUGGCGGCAUUCGGGGUGCUUCGCGGAAGCUGUCUGGCUUUAACGGUGAUGGGACGGGGAGGUGGAAGACGACGGUUUUAGCCGCGUGCGUCGCGGCUGGGAUCUAGUUUUUUUAACCUCCCUUCAAUCCUGUCUCGUUUCGGCCUUUCACUUUUGUGGGCCUCUGUUUGCUUAGCUGGGGUAGAUAAAACGCUAACGAGAGUCGGGGGGAGUGGACGUUACUCGUGGAAUGGGUGGGCGCUCCUUAGUGGUGCGUCCCUCUUCCCGGUUUCGCUUUUUCUGCUUUCCUCGUCGUCUCGCGCCACCGGCUUUCGAGUGCAAAAGCUUCUUAGAGGGACGAGCGGCGUUCAGCCGCGCGAGAUUGAGCGAUAACAGGUCUGUGAUGCCCUUAGAUGUCCGGGGCCGCACGCGCGCUACACUGAAGGGGUCAACGCGCCAUUACGUUUCCCGGGCCGAAAGGCUCGGGGAACCGGUGGAACCCCGACGUAGCGUUCGUGCUAGGGACAGGGACUUGCAAUUGUGUCCCUCGAACGAGGAAUUCCCAGUAGGCGCGAGUCAUCAGCUCGCGCCGAUUACGUCCCUGCCCUUUGUACACACCGCCCGUCGCUACUACCGAUCGAACGAUUUAGCGAGGUCUUCGGACCGGCGGCCGAAGGUGCGCGAGCGCCGGCGUUUUUCGCCGGAAAAAUGCCCGAACUUGAUCGUUUAGAGGAAGA